AUGGCGCCUCCUCAGUCCGACGAGCAGCUCGUCGACGAUCCUGCCAUGGUGGACAUUACUCCUCCUCACCCCGACGAGCAUUUCAGUGAUGAGCCGGCCGUGGAAGACACAGCCCCUCCUCGAUUCUCCGACGAGCAACAACCCGGCAGCGUGCCGCAAACCACGCUGAUGCCGUACGCAGCCGUGGACUCGUCGCUGCGCGCCAUGGCCGGCCAGGCCGAGGGCUUCGGCCGGCACGCCAUCGGCGGCCUCCACGGCGACGUCUACCACGUCACCACCCUCAAUGACGACGGGCCCGGGUCGCUGCGCGACGGUUGCCGUCGCCAGGAGCCGCUGUGGAUCGUCUUCGACGUGUCCGGCACCAUCCGCCUCGCGUCGGGGCUGCGCGUGUCCUCCCAGAAGACCGUGGACGGCCGCGGGCGGCGCGUGACGCUGUCCGGCAAGGGCCUUCUUCUUCGCGAGUGCGAGCACGUGAUCCUGUGCAACCUGGAGGUGGAGGGCGGGCGCGGGCACGACGCCGACGCCGUCCAGAUCAAGCCCGGGUCGAGGCACGUGUGGGUGGACCGCUGCAGCUUGCGCGACUUCGCCGACGGCCUGCUGGACGUGACCUGCGGCAGCACGGACGUGACGGUCUCCCGGUGCCGCUUCUCGGCGCACGACAAGGCCGUGCUGAUCGGCGCCAGCAGCGAGCACGUCGUGGACCGGCGCAUCCGGGUGACCAUCCACCACUGCCUCUUCGACGGCACGCGGCAGCGGCAGCCCCGCGUCCGGUUCGGCCGGGUGCACCUCUACAACAACUACACCAGGGGCUGGGGCAUCUACGCCGUCUGCGCCAGCGUGGAGUCGCAGAUUGUCUCCCAGUGCAACAUCUACGAGGCAGGGGAGAAGAAGAAAGUGUUCACGUACAUGAGCGAGCAGGCGGCGGACAGGGACUGCAGUUCAAGUGGGCGCAUCCGGUCUGAAGGCGACCUGUUCCUGAACGGCGCGAAGGAGCACACCGAAAAUGAUUUGGAAACUGCAGAAGACGGCCAGUGGGACUUCAAGGUCCGGGAUUGCUACAGGCCGUGGUCGGUCCAGCCGGCGUCGAUGGCGCUCAAGGAGCUCCUGGAGUCCUGCACCGGCUGGCAGCCGGUUCCGUUGCCGGAAGACGACGUCUGCUUCACAAGAACGCCAGCUGCUGCUGAACCACUCUGA
rnacentral:rRNA from 1 species